UACUUUUAGGCAUUUCUAUUAUUGAUGCGGGAAUUUUGAAUAAAUACACUCAAAAAAAUCCACACGUUAACCUUAUGUGAAAAAACACGUAGAUUCCCAAAAUUGCUUUGUCAUCGGAGUUUACGUGAUCUUCUUAACAACCAUCGGAUCAUGAUUAAAUAUGAAAUGAAUCAUAUGUCAGCAUUAUUGCUGUUGUCACAUAUAUUUUAUGUGUCGCGUACAUACUUGAAUUCAUUUUGUCAUGUUCAUUUGGUGCUCGCAAUAUGGCGUCUAUUGAAAAACAUCGAUCACCAUAGGCCAAAUCCUUUUUGGCCCUUCUACGGUAUUUAUCACAAUGAUUUUAGGAUCUAAUAUUAGUACCGAGCAGAAGAAUAAUUUAUAAGCAAAUGUACCAUUUUUUGAGUUUACUGAAUGGCUCGACGAAACCAACCUUCAACAAUUUAUUUGCAUGACCCAUUGUGGAGUCCAAAAGGCAAAACCUCUAAAUUGUUUUCCAGCACAUCAAUCUUCUGAAAGUGGAUCAACAAAACCACAUCCUGA